rnacentral:rRNA from 1 species
UACGUAAGGGGCGAGCGUUAUCCGGAAUUAUUGGGCGUAAAGAGUAUGUAGGUGGUUUUUUAAGCGCGAGGUUUAAGGCAAUGGCUCAACCAUUGUUUGCCUUGCGAACUGGAAAACUUGAGUGCAGGAGAGGAAAGCGGAAUUCCUAGUGUAGCGGUGAAAUGCGUAGAUAUUAGGAGGAACACCAGAGGCGAAGGCGGCUUUCUGGACUGUAACUGACACUGAGAUACGAAAGCGUGGGGAGCAAACAGG